AGGAGUGACCUGGUGUUCGCUCACCAGAUUUUCUGGUGGGAGGAAAGUCCGGACUUCUGCAGGGAAGGUGGUUCCUAACAGGAACAGGUAGCAAUACCUGGAAAGUGCCACAGAAAAUACACUGCUUACUAUAUAUAAAAAUAGUAAGCAAAGGUGAAAAGGCGAGGUAAGAGCUCACCGGUUCUCUGGUAACAGAGAACGCAAGGCAAACCCCACCUGAAGCAAGGUCAAGUAGAACCAAUGGGUUCCCUGCCCCAAAAGGUUCGGGUAGACCGCUUGAGUCAGAAGGCGACUUCUGACCCAGAUGAAUGAACACCUAAAACAGAAUCCGGCUUAUAGGUCACUCCUAUUU
rnacentral:RNase_P_RNA from 1 species